GCCUGGGUGGCUCAGUUGGUUGAGCGUCCGACUUCGGCUCAGGUCACCAUCUCUCUGGCUGUGAGUUCAAGCCCCACAUCAGGCU
rnacentral:tRNA from 1 species